rnacentral:rRNA from 1 species
AACGAACGCUGGCGGCAUGCCUAACACAUGCAAGUCGAACGAGACCUUCGGGUCUAGUGGCGCACGGGUGCGUAACGCGUGGGAACCUGCCCUUAGGUUCGGAAUAACUCCCCGAAAGGGGUGCUAAUACCGGAUAAUGUCUUCGGACCAAAGAUUUAUCGCCUUUGGAUGGGCCCGCGUUGGAUUAGCUAGUUGGUAGGGUAAAAGCCUACCAAGGCGACGAUCCAUAGCUGGUCUGAGAGGAUGAUCAGCCACACUGGGACUGAGACACGGCCCAGACUCCUACGGGAGGCAGCAGUGGGGAAUAUUGGACAAUGGGCGAAAGCCUGACCCAGCAAUGCCGCGUGAGUGAUGAAGGCCUUAGGGUUGUAAAGCUCUUUUCCCCGGGAUGAUAAUGACAGUACCGGGAGAAUAAGCUCCGGCUAACUCCGU